AUCCUGAAAAUCGAUUAAACUCUCUGGCAUUUCGGCUCGGUGAGACAACCGAUAGCUUUAGCAAGCGAAAUAUCGCAUUCUACGUAUAACGCGGUUGUAAAAGAAUGUCGAAGGUCGCCCCGGCGAUUCAUCGUUUCUUCUCGUUACAUUUUAUUCUACUUUCGUCCACCAUCCACCGCGUACGUGAUAUUCGGUGGCAAAUGGCACGAUAACGGUGUCAAGUCCACGCGACGAGCCUUUACGAAAACGCGUCGUCCAGUCUCGUGUUUAUUGGAACCGCUUCAAACGAUUCCAACUUCUUGUUAAAUGUCACGCGCAUAAUUUGUCUCGCAAGAAACAGGGUGGAAGAGUAGACUGCGCUGACCGUGAAACGAUGGAACCUUGUGUAACGAGGUCGCGCGAGUAUCUUUCGAACGAAGCCGACGACGAAGACGGCGUCGGCGUCGGCGGACGGACGUGGUUAUUGAACGUAUUAGAAUAUUAAUAGAAUUUACCAGACUGGAACAUAUCUCGUCUCUAAUAUUUACCUACCUACAAUAGUAAAAGAGCUACGAACGUGGGUGAAUUUUCGGUUGAUUUAAAAUGGUCAAACAUGAGAUAAGAAAAUGGCAAACUGGCACGACUCGCGUCAUGAAUCUAGAAGCAGAAUUAUAAGUUAGCACGCGCGCGUUUCUGAGCGGACGAACAACGAUCUUGACCCGUUUCUUGCCAUUAGGAACAGACUGGCAACGCGCAUCCAUCUUUCCUAUCUGUCUGACCCUUUCUGCAAUUAACGAAGAUCUUGCUGAAACGUUUUCCUACUCCAAGCUUAUAUCUUCAACGACUAGAAAUGUUCAUAGGGUAUAUAUAGAAUUUAGUACGAUUUUAACGUGAUUUACCGCGAAGUGCGUACUCUCUCGUAAUCGGUGAGUCAUCCAACUUUGAAACUCUGAAGAGGCUGGCCCGAGUGUUACCGAAACUAACGUUGCUGCCAAAAAGAAAAAAUAAAGAACGAAGGACACGAACUAGAAUCGAAAUAAUAAUCCUGGCCGUGAAAGUUGACGUCAGAGAUAGUAUUACUCAAUGAAUGCAGUCAAUGGAAAACUAUGCAAUCAUUUAUCGGCCGACAAGUGAGACGGAUUGUUCGACGAACGAUCCGGUGCUUAUGAUUUAAUUCGGAGAAGCGAUACGUAGGUAUGUGUCCGAUUUAAUCAAUUUCCAUGCCAAUUAGAUCACUCGUCAAUCAUAAAUACCGACUGGAUAAUUGAUUUUUUCAGCCUUCUAAAUUCUCAACAAAAUGAUUAACUCGAACAUCAAUCAAAAUAUCACGCUAUUCGAAUGUGAUGAAUGGAUCUUUGCUUUGAAAUUUUGACGCUACCUUGUUCUCGUAUCUUAUACAUACAAAUACGAGCCUCUAUCAAAGAACAUCAAUGACGAAUGUUUUUUUUUUUUUCGUUCGAGGAAAUAAGUGAUCGUUAUCGUUGAUUCGCGAGACGAUUCCUACGAAAGUACAUACGUUCGAAUCACGAAGAUCUAUAUUUGGAUCGCGCGUCAUGCGAACGCGCUCGAAUCCUUCGAAAUUUGAAUCACUAUUUUAUAGGGGACCGGUAUAAUCGAAGGUAGAAGCGCGAAUACAUUUAUCGGUUACAGUUUCAGCAAGAUCGGCAGACGGUGCUGCUAUUUGUCUCGUUUCGAAACACCGCGACCUGACUUUCCUUUAUCUUCUUCUUAAAAAUAAUAAAAAGUAGGUUAAUUCGCGAGGAACAUAGCGAUCAAACAAGCCGUUCAACGAUACGGUAACGAUGAAAGAUAGCAAUCAAGGAGAAUCAGUAAACACGAUGACAUAAUAAAGUAAGGAGAGAUAUCAAAGUUGCUGGAUCGUCGUUGUCGGUAUACUCGAAAACAGCUGGUUUGUUCCUAGACGCGGUACACUUAAAAUUCCAACGAACAUCGAUCUAAAUUCGAAUCCGAAUCUAAAUCUAAAUCUACAUCUAAAUUGACCUGUUGAGGAUCUCGAAACGCGGCAAAGUCGGCUCCGUUUCGUUCGCGAUUAAAUCAUUCCUCUCCUUUCAAAGAUAGAUUAAUUUCGGAAACGUUACGAGAAUAUGCUUAUACAUACGCGCGUAUAAUUAUAGCGAUGCGUAUGCAAUCGUGAAUCGUUUUUUAAAAAAAAACGAAAAAACGACUAAAAACAAUGUAGGAAAAGAGGUCACGAAAACACGUUGGCGAGAUCGUAUAUUUUUAAGCGGGUUUCAACGUUUCGGGAGCGAGAUCUUUUUCGGAUUUAUGUGUAUCGAUAAAACAAACAGGAACGAAUGAGCCGCGGAGAGCUCGACUGAUAUUCCAGCCACGAUUAUUUUUAUAGUGUUAUCCGAGAACUCGAAUCUUUCGACUUCGGAGGGAAACGAAAAUUCAAAUCUGCCCGGUGAUAAAGCGUUUCCGGUAUCGAACGGAAUUUUCUUCUACGACGAUUCAUUCGAUAUUAUAAUAAUAAUAAUAAUAAUAAUAAAUUUAUUAUCGACAGAUACUUCUCGACUCGAUCCGAUCGGUCCGAUUAGGUGAGUCGUUGCGUGCCAAUUAAACAACGUAACUCCUCGAUAAAACGAGAAACGUUUCCUCGAAGAAAUUUUUCCUGAUAUCGAUUCGAUCGUUUCGCAUGAAAAUCAUUUGAACGAUUUAUCGAACCUCUAUCUCGAUCUCCUUGCGCGUUUUUCCAUCCGUAUUCUCUCCCUUUUUAUUCCGCUCCGUCCUUUCCUCUCUUUUUAAUCUGUUUAUCACAUGGCGCGCCAAUGCUUAUACGCGAUCUUUCAAAUUGUUCGCGCUAAAAAUAACGCGAACGUCAUAUUAACGCGUAUGCGCCCGUUGUCCCAAAUUCCAAUCGUUCUUUCUGCGUUAUGAAUUCAAUUUUAAGAAUCUUUUCUUUCUAUUUAGAUAUCGAUGAGUUUCGAAGAACAACAAGUACAAGAUUGCUAUUUCUUGAUGUUUCCUUCUCAGAUAAGCGCCUAGUGUAUUAUGUUCACGUUACGUUUACAAACUGUCAAUUAUUAAUUGGUAGUUAAAUACAGGGCCAACUCUGAGAUUUCGGGGGUCCGAAGCGAGCUCCGAAAAAGGGCCCCUUAUAAAGCUUGUAUAACUAAUUUAGAUUCAAGUAAACAUUACUCUUCUUGCAUUCUUAAACGCAAAAUCGUCUUAUGGGAGCCCUGAUUAAAUAGCAUCGAAACGAUUUUGGCGUAAUACGUAAUUGCAGGUAACAGUAGUACUCUGAAUGAAACAAUAAAAGAAAGGGAAUGUAAUUUUGAGUCUCGUCACGAUGUGCACGAUAUACAUAAGAGGCUGGCGGAAAUUUUUAUAUUCGUAACGAGAUGCUUGUUCCGGACGUGUCUCGAAUCGUUAUCGAUAAAUCGUAAAGUGAAAAAAGCGUUUUCGCAACUCGCGUAUAUUUCGUAUCGUAUAGUUUCAUUUCAGUUCACGAACAGGUAUUUCUCGUUGAUACUGUAUCGCCAAUUAUUAAAACACAUACACGAUAUAGGUGUUAAGGUGUUUUUAUAAUUGCGUACCAAGAUAACAUAUAACGUUGAGGAAAUUCUGCCUUGAAUCGAGAGAUCGAACGGUAAGAAUCAAACUUCGAACUUGAGCGGAUAAUGAUUAGGUGUAUACAGCCGUGGCGACGCGACGCGUCGCGACGCAACGGGACGCUGUAAACUGUAGACAAACGAUCGCGUUUAUGGAAACAUCAAUUUUUUCAAAGCAAUUUACUUAAAGUGCAAGCAUUAGCUGCAAUUAGAUUCUCUAAUGAUUACUCUAUUAAUAUAACGCAACACGAUAAAAUUUUCAUUUACGUAUUCAUCGAGAAAAAAAAAUCUAAUACUUUGCGUUUACGCGCAUUAAAGUAUAUCUUAACUCUUUGAUAGCCGAUUUUACAUAUUUAUGACUUUGAACUGCUUCGAAUUUAAUGCAUUAUUCACUAACUAAUGUGUAAUCCUAUCGAUGGUUUUCUUUUAGAUACAGAUAAAAAUCAUAAAGUUACGAGAGUCUUAAGUACCAGGAAAUAAAUGGCGGUUAAAUAUGUUACGAUAUAUUUCUUUCGCUUACCCGUUGUGUCACUUGCUGUUCAGUGCUUAAUCCAGGAUUCUUGAGAUCCAAAGCAAUAAAUAUUAGAAACUUCCUUCACGAAGAUAACGCGCUCAAAAAAUUUUCAUAUGUUCUCUGUUGAGUGCGAUAGUGGGGAAUUUUAAAGAUUCGAUUUGAUAAACGAGAUUGAAAACAAAAAAGAUAACACGAGAAGGAAGAACGUAGGUGCAAAUGAAAAAAA